AUCCAGGGAUGGGAACCCACAGUAUUCCGCUUACCAGGCAGAUAACAUGUCCACUAGGCUACCCUGGA